AGGGAUGUAAGUCAGUGACAGAACAUCUACUUUGCAUGCACAAGGUCCCAGGUUCAAUCCCUGACAUCUCCA